GACUGGUGGCAGCCGCCGCGGUAACACCAGCGCCUCGAGUGGUAUCCACGAAUAUUGGGUCUAAAGUGUCCGUAGCCGGACUACUAAGUCCGCUGUGAAAUGUUGAGGCUCAACCUUAACGCGUGCAGUGGAUACUGGCAGUCUUGGGAAUGGGGGAGGGUUGGAGUACUUCCAGGGUAGGGGUAAAAUCCGUUGAGCCUGGAAGGACUACCAGUGGCGAAGGCGCCAACCCAAAACAUAUCCGACGGUGAGGGACGAAAGCUGGGGGAGCGAACGGGAUUAGAUACCCCGGUAGUCCCAGCUGUAAAUGAUGCAGACUGUGGUGUUACACAUGAGUAAUCAUGUGUAGUGCUGUAGCGUAGGUGUUAAGUCUGCCACCUGGGGAGUACGAUCGCAAGAUUGAAACUUAAAGGAAUUGGCGGGGGAGCACCACAAGCCGUGGAUGCUACGGUUUAAUUG
rnacentral:rRNA from 1 species